UAGCCUGACGUAUCGCUACAUGGGGCACCCUCCGUCGCCUUCAGUUUGCCGGUCAAGGGCAAGAUGAGUGGUUGUGAGCGGGAGGCGGAGCUGAUUCAUUCUUUCCUCGGCCAUUGGUGGCUGAGUUCCGGAGUGCCAAUAGUGGAGGGAGCGCUGUCCUCGCUCAGGUUUCGGUUUCAUAGAUUCUAAUCCUUUUACGAUUAAAGAGGACAUCCCUUGAAUCAUCUAUGAUUAAAAACAACAGUCAAACUUGAUUUGAAUAAUGUGCCUCUUUGUACUUUUCUGUUGUCAGCGGGUAUCUAAAGCAGAAAAAGCCAUUUUUUGCUACUUAUAAGUAUCCUAAACUGAGGAGGAUUCUGCUAUGGGUUCUGAAAGGUGUGGUACUUAUCUCCAUUUCCUACUAAGGGAGCCAGUGUUGCCUGAAGAAGUUUCUGUGGUCAUGUGGCUAGCAUGACUAUAUACUGAGGCAGAUGGAAUGCCGCCACCUUCAAAGUGGUACCUCUUUAUCUACUUGCAUUUGCAUGUUUUGAAACUGCUAGGUUGGCAUGAGCUGAGGCAGAAAUGUGAGCUCAUCCCAUCACAUGGUGCUUGAGUCUCAAACUGUCAAAUGUCCACUCAACACACCCAGCAUCUUAACCACUAGGCCACUGUACCCCCUCCUUCCUACCAGUUCAUUAUCCUAACUGACAAAAGAUUCAUGACAGAGAUCUGCAACUUUUUAGAAUCUGAGCAUCGUUGCAUGAUUAUUGUGGCCUGGUUCCUCCUCAAAAAAUGAUUUUUGAGGUUAACAGAUUUUGGCAGUUCACCUCAAGUUUACACUAAGGCUAUCCUGACAAAUAUUGAUUGCCACUUUCUCACAAGAUUGUCUGAAUAUAGGUGACCUUGUAAGAAUUAGGUUAUUUAUUAAAAAAAUAAUUUAGAGAUUUUUGCAGGCAGGAAAGAAUUAAAAAUUCUAGGGAAAAAUGAAAUAAUGUUGCUGGUUCUGAUUGUGUGUAAUUAUUAAUUAUUUAGAUAUCUUAAGAGACCAUCACCAAAUUUUC